rnacentral:rRNA from 1 species
UAAACGGAGAGUUUGAUCCUGGCUCAGGAUGAACGCUGGCGGCGUGCUUAACACAUGCAAGUCGAACGAUUAAAGCCCCU